rnacentral:lncRNA from 1 species
CGGCAUCGCAGGAGUGGUGGCGCAGCUGUUUCCUCUGGUAGGUGUUCCGCUGCCAUCUUGUGUGUGGCUAGGACUGGGCUUCUUGACGGUUGAACGCUUACUUAGUGGCUCCAGAGAGCUACUCCGUAAUCUUUGUCUCGGAAGAUUGACCGUCACCCCUCUUUAAGGAGGUUGUCUGAUGGACUGCCUGAUUCAGGAAGGAACAAGGCUGGUCAUUAAUAGAAGGGGAGAGAGGGAGAUGCCUCACCACUAUCCUCAGGAUAUACACCAAAUAUUGAGAAGAAGGAACAUCAGGAGCUAAGUGUUCUAUUUAAACCAGUAGUUGC